UGAAAAACUAGUUUUAAUGACUCCAACCUACGCGUAUGUAAACUUCUGACUUCAACUGUAUAUUAUUAUUAUAUAUAUCUUUUUUUUUAAAUAUCGUUGACUGCGUGAGUGCAUUUAUAUACAGUUUCGGCCAAACAUAUUGGCACACAUGCACUUUUCUUAAAUAAGUCUCUAUUUCUUAUUUGUUUAUUCAGAUCCCCAUUAGAUUUUGCCAAAGCAGCAGCGUUUCUUCCUGAGGUCCACAAAACAUGACACGUAACGAAACAGUGAUAGACAACACACAUUUAAAAUACAACGAUAUACAAACAGUACUUCAACGAAAUAAUAAACAAUACAACUAAAACAUGUGUGUGUGUGUGUGUGUGUGUCCCCUUCUAAAAUAAGUUAAAAAAAUUAAACUUCUGGUCUUCACACCUGAUUAGAUUUUCAACAUUGCAAAUCCAAUUGUAUUUUUGUAAACUUAAGUUGACAAUUUUUUAAUUUAGAAAAUAAAAAGAAGUGGCAUGGACUAAAUUAGUGGCACUCCGGAGCUAAAACUUGGUUGCACAGCCUUUGUCCAAGGUAACUGCAGACAAACACGUCUUGUAGCAAGCAAUGAUGUAACCCACUGUUCAGCAGCAAACUACUCUAAAUCUUCAAUGCUUGAGGGGUUCCCCCAUCAACUGAUGUUUUCAGAUCUCUCCAUAGGUUUUGGAUGUGAUUCAAAUCUGGACUCUUGGCUGGCCACUCUGGAACAUUCCAGCAUCUCUUCUUGAACCAUUCCUGGGUGAUUUUUCAUGUUUGGGGUCGUUGUCCUGCUGGAAGACCCACAACAUUCAGUGGAGACCCAGGUUUUGGACACUGGGUUGAACAAAACACCUGAUAAUCUGCUGAUUUCAUGAUGCCUCGCACACGUUCAAGGCCCCCGGGACCAGAGACAGCAGAGCAACCCCACAGCAUUAUCAAAUCUCCCACAUGUCAGACAAGAGUCCGGAACUGAAUCGCAUCCAAAACCAAUGGCGAGAUCAGUAGUUGGAGGGAACCCCUCAAACAUUUAAGUAUUAGAACAAUUUGCUGCUGAAAAGUGGGCCAAAUGCCAGUAGAAAGUUGCAGCAAGCUCAUUGGUGGCUUCAAUAAGCAUUUGUCUGCAGUUAUCUUGGCCAAAGGCUGUCCAACCAUGUACUCGCUCCAGGGAGCCAAUUUAGGACCUGCCAUUUGUCUUUAUUUUCCUAAUCAAAAUUCUCAACCUAGGUUUACAAAAAUAAAAUUGUCUCUGCAAUGUCAAAUCCAAUAAAUGUUUUAUAUUUUUCCAUUUCAAUUUAUAUUAAAAAAAAGGGGGAAUAAUAUAGUGCAAGGGUGACAAUAUAUUUGGCUUCAACUGUGUAGUGUGUGUGUGUGUGUGUGUGUGUUUGCUUUGUCGUGGUCAACUAGUGUGAAAUUAUUCACUCACACGCACUGACCUACCCCAUGGACUGACCUCCAGGUACAUGCAGAAGUACUUAUCCGCUCUAACGUGUGUGUGGUGUGUCAGGUCUACAAGGGUUCGAUGCCAAGAUGGAGAGGCGGACAAAUAAGAUGAAGGGAAAACAGGAAGAGAGAUGAAGAUGAGGCAUGAAGAAAUCAGAAGGAAAUAUGGUCUCAGUGGGUUCAACCAGUACUCCAAAUUCUCUUGAUAUUUGAACACUGUACUGUAUCAACUGCCUGCCUUCUCUUCACCUCUGACCUUUCACACACACACACACACACACACACUUAUUGUCUGUUCUAUGCUCAGCUUACCCCUUUUUAAACCAUUCAUCAUAAAAGCCAAAACGGGUCGCCAAAUAUUGUGCACAACGUCACUUAUUUCGUAUAUGUUACGUCCUGCUAAAAAAAAAAAAAAUCCUGCAAUUUGUAUGAUGUUACGAAUUCCAAUUCGUACAAUAUGUUAUGAAUGUGUAAGUGCUUAAGAUCCCGUUUAAUCUCUUUAACUGUUUGAGGAGAAUACAUGAAACUGGCCUUAGAUCAAAGUUUUGGUACAACCUGUUUAUACAACAUUAUCUGCCCAUGUAACACAGGUCAUUAAACAUUGUGUUAAAUGCAAUGAACAAAGUAUUCUACGAAUGCUUAGCUAGAACAAGUUCUGCGCUGCUUGGUGAGUGGUGCAGUGCUGAACAUGUCUUGUAGUGCUGAACAUGUCUUGCAG